AUUGAACGCUGGCGGCAGGCUUAACACAUGCAAGUCGAGCGGAGCGAGGGUGCUUGCACCUUAGCUUAGCGGCGGACGGGUGAGUAAUGCUUAGGAAUCUGCCUAUUAGUGGGGGACAACAUUCCGAAAGGAAUGCUAAUACCGCAUACGCACUACGGGGGAAAGCAGGGGAUCUUCGGACCUUGCGCUAAUAGAGGAGCCUAAGUCGGAUUAGCUAGUUGGUGGGGUAAAGGCCUACCAAGGCAACGAUCUGUAGCGGGUCUGAGCGGAUGAUCCGCCACACUGGGACUGAGACACGGCCCAGACUCCUACGGGAGGCAGCAGUGGGGAAUAUUGGACAAUGGGCGGAAGCCUGAUCCAGCCAUGCCGCGUGUGUGAAGAAGGCCUUUUGGUUGUAAAGCACUUUAAGCGAGGAGGAGGCUACUUAGAUUAAUACUCUGGGAUAGUGGACGUUACUCGCAGAAUAAGCACCGGCUAACUCUGUGCCAGCCGCCGCCGUAA
rnacentral:rRNA from 1 species